GGACGCCUCUGAGUUGCCGUAGUUGUAGUUUGUUGGUUCAGAACAGAAUCAGACACUGCUGAAAUAUAAGUGGAAUAAACAGCUAGCGACAUAAUCAUAUCAUGAGUCGAUCGUACAAUGACGAGUUACAAUAUUUGGACAAGAUUGACAAGAACUGCUGGCGAAUCAAGAAAGGUUUCGUCCCAAAUAUGCAGGUGGAAGGAGUGUUUUACGUCAACGAGUCCCUGGAGAAGCUGAUGUUUGAGGAGCUGCGUAACGCGUGUAAAGGAGGAGGUUUUGGUGGGUUUCUCCCCGCCAUGAAACAGAUUGGAAACGUUGCAGCUCUGCCGGGUAUAGUCCAUAAGUCCAUCGGCCUGCCAGACUGCCACUCGGGGUAUGGGUUCGCCAUCGGAAACAUGGCUGCCUUUGACAUGAGCGACCCCAACGCUGUCGUAUCCCCAGGUGGUGUGGGGUUUGAUAUUAACUGUGGAGUGCGUCUACUAAGGACCAACCUAGACGAGGGAGACGUCCAGCCUGUCAAGGAGCAGCUGGCUCAGGCCCUGUUUGACCACAUCCCUGUAGGAGUCGGCUCCAAGGGAGUCAUCCCUAUGACCGCCAAGGAUCUAGAGGAGGCUCUAGAGAUGGGAGUGGACUGGUCCCUCAGAGAAGGCUAUGCCUGGGCAGAGGAUAAGGAGCACUGUGAGGAGUAUGGCAGGAUGCUGCAGGCCGACCCCAACAAGGUCUCCUCCAAGGCCAAGAAGAGAGGCCUUCCUCAGCUGGGUACUCUGGGGGCAGGGAACCACUACGCUGAGAUCCAGGUGGUGGAUGAGAUCUAUAAUGACUAUGCUGCUAAGAAGAUGGGCAUCGACCACAAGGGCCAGGUGUGUGUGAUGAUCCACAGUGGCAGCAGGGGCUGGGCCACCAGGUGGCGACAGAUGCCCUGGUUGCCAUGGAGAAGGCGAUGAAGCGAGACAAGAUCCAGGUGAACGAUCGUCAGCUGGCGUGCGCCCGGAUCUUUUCAGAGGAGGGACAAGACUACCUGAAAGGAAUGGUCUGAGUACUAUGCUUAGGUAAAUGUGAUGACCUUCCUCACACGACAGGCGUUUGCCAAGGUGUUCACCACCACUCCUGAUGACCUGGACAUGCAUGUGAUCUAUGACGUGUCUACCAUAACAUCGCCAAGGUGGAGGAACACAUGGUAGAUGGGAAACAGAAGACUCUGCUGCUGCAUCCCAAGGGAUCCACCGGGCCUUCCCUCCACACCACCCCUCAUCCCUGUACCCCCUCAUCCCUGUAGACUACCAGCUGACAGGCCAGCCGGUGUUGAUCGGGGCACGAUGGGCACCUGCAGUUACGUCCUGACGGGCACGGAACAGGGCAUGACGGAGACCUUCGGCACCACCUGCCACGGCGCGGGUCGGGCUCUGUCUCGGGCCAAAUCCCGCAGGAACAUCGACUUCCAGGACGUGUUGGACAAGCUGGCAGACAAGGGUAUCGCCAUCAGGGUGGCUUCGCCCAAACUAGUCAUGGAAGAGGCUCCGGAGUCGUACAAAAACGUGUGUGAUGUCGUCAACACGUGUCACGAUGCUGGAAUCAGCAAGAAAGCCAUCAAACUACGACCCAUCGCCGUGAUCAAGGGAUAAGGCUGCACCACUCUGCUAGUGACGGCAUUGGCCAUGGCACUCCCUCCAGGAGCCAAUCACCAGGCAGAGAGCUGAGCUGGCGGAGGAGCCAAUGGGGAAGUGUCUGACUGCGAGUGAGCAUGUCCGUCUUCAUAGACUGACUUGACAAGGGAUCGGUUUCCUCCGCUCCACUUCCUGUUUAUGACCAGUGUGAUUAUUUUGACAUGGGGGGUGAUUUGUUCGUUGAGUGAUCAAUUUAAUUGGACCGGAUGAGCUCUUUAAUAUUGUCAAGUCUGAGAGGGUGAAGUGUCUUGGGUUUACCUUUCAUUCAUUGCAAAAUCACUGUGGAAUAUAACUUUGAGAUUCAGGUUAACCACAGAUAAUAAAAUACAAGACGACAGA